rnacentral:misc_RNA from 1 species
CUGGAUUUUUCUGCGCUCAGCGUCUUCCUCUGCCGCACGUCGGCAAUAGUUCUCCUCCCUCCAGCUCGCCGGCGUUAUCCUCUGCGCCGCUUUGGCUUACAAAAAUCCUGGCUGCCGGUGUUUAUCUCCUCACGGCGCCGCCCUGGGACUCUUCAAAUACCCUGCCGUGCUCUCUCUCUUCAAUGUUCCUCUCGUUCCCUGACGAGCUGCCAUGGCGUCCACGUCUGUCGCGGUAUCCUGGCUCCUCGCCCAGGACGGCACUCGGCCCUGCCCCUACCCCAACUUCCUGCACGCCAUGGAGAUUUCUUCAAGCUCGCUCCAACGCCGCUCCUUUUCCCCAACCGCGCCAGGCGGUCUGUCUCCCUGUGCGCUCGAUUUAGUUCGGUUUCUUCCCUGGACGCGCGCUCUGCAGCUUGCCGGAGCACCCUGCGUCGCGCCCGGGUGCUUUGCUUCUUGCUCGCCGAGCCCUCCCCAGCUCGUGGAUCUCCCUCGCCGGCGUCCUCUGCUCCUCCUGGUUGCUGA